CACACCGCCCGUCACAUCACGAAAGUAGGGUUGUACUAGAAGUCCGCAGGCCGACCGCAAGGGGACAGCGGCCCAAGGUAUGACUCAUGAUUGGGGUG
rnacentral:rRNA from 1 species